AUUGAACGCUGGCGGCAUGCUUUACACAUGCAAGUCGAACGGUAACAGGUCAAGCUGACGAGUGGCGAACGGGUGAGUAAUGCAUCGGAACGUGCCCGGUCGUGAGGGAUAACGUAGCGAAAGUUACGCUAAUACCGCAUACGACCUGAGGAUGAAAGCGGGGGACCGUAAGGCCUCGCGCGAUCGGAUCGGCCGGUGUCAGAUUAGGUAGUUGGUGGGGUAAAGGCCUAACAAGCCGACGAUCUGUAACUGGUCUGAGAGGACGACCAGUCACACUGGGACUGAGACACGGGCCAGAAUCCUACGGGAGGCAGCAGUGGGGAAUAUUGGACAAUGGGCGAGAGCCUGAUCCAGCCAUGCCGCGUGUGUGAAGAAGGUCUUCGGAUUGUAAAGCACUUUAAGUCGGGAGGAAGGGCUGUAGGCUAAUACCUUGCAGUUUUGACGUUACCGACAGAAUGAGCACCGGCUAACUUCGUGCCAGCCGCCGCGGUAACAC
rnacentral:rRNA from 1 species